rnacentral:rRNA from 1 species
GAUGAACGCUGGCGGCGUGCCUAAUACAUGCAAGUCGAGCGAACAGACGAGGAGCUUGCUCCUCUGACGUUAGCGGCGGACGGGUGAGUAACACGUGGAUAACCUCCCUAUAAGACUGGGAUAACUUCGGAAAACCGGCGCUAAUACCGGAUAAUAUAUUGAACCGCAUGGUUCAAUAGUGAAAGACGGUUUUGCUGUCACUUAUAGAUGGAUCCGCGCCGCAUUAGCUAGUUGGUAAGGUAACGGCUUACCAAGGCAACGAUGCGUAGCCGACGUGAGAGGGUGAUCGGCCGCACUGGAACGGAGACACGGACCAUAGUCCUACGGGAGGCAGCAGAAGGGAAUCUGACGCAAUGGGCGAAAGCCUGACGGAGCAACGCCGCGUGAGUGAUGAAGGUCUUCGGAGCGGAAAACUCUGUUAUUAGGGAAGAACAAAUGUGUAAGUAACUAUGCACGUCUUGACGGUACCUAAUCAGAAAGCCACGGCUAACUACGUG